rnacentral:rRNA from 1 species
UACAGAGGGUGCAAGCGUUAAUCGGAAUUACUGGGCGUAAAGCGCACGUAGGUGGUUUGCUAAGUCAGCUGUGAAAUCCCCGGGCUUAACCUGGGCACUGCAGUUGAAACUGGCAAGCUAGAGUAGGGUAGAGGGGUGUGGAAUUCCAGGUGUAGCGGUGAAAUGCGUAGAUAUCUGGAGGAACAUCAGUGGCGAAGGCGACACCCUGGACUCAUACUGACACUGAGGUGCGAAAGCGUGGGGAGCAAACAGG